rnacentral:rRNA from 1 species
UACGUAUGGGGCAAGCGUUAUCCGGAAUUAUUGGGCGUAAAGAGCGCGCAGGUGGUUAAUUAAGUCUGAUGUGAAAGCCCACGGCUUAACCGUGGAGGGUCAUUGGAAACUGGUUGACUUGAGUGCAGAAGAGGGAAGUGGAAUUCCAUGUGUAGCGGUGAAAUGCGUAGAGAUAUGGAGGAACACCAGUGGCGAAGGCGGCUUCCUGGUCUGCAACUGACACUGAGGCGCGAAAGCGUGGGGAGCAAACAGG